AGAGUUUGAUCCUGGCUCAGAGUGAACGCUGGCGGCGUGCCUAACACAUGCAAGUCGAACGAGAACGGAUAUAAGUUUACUUAUAUUGUCAGCUAAGUGGCGCACGGGUGAGUAAUAUAUAGUUAAUCUGCCCUGAAGAAGAGAAUAAUUGUUGGAAACGACUUGUAAUGCUCUAUAUGCCUUUAUCACAUAAGUGAGCAAGGGAAAUAUUUAUAGCUUCGGGAUGAGACUGUACGGUAUCAGCUAGUUGGUGAGGUAAUGGCUCACCAAGGCUAUGACAUCUAACUGGUUUGAGAGGAUGAUCAGUCACACUGGAACUGAGACACGGUCCAGACUCCUACGGGAGGCAGCAGUGGGGAAUAUUGCACAAUGGAGGAAACUCUGAUGCAGCAACGCCGCGUGGAGGAUGACACAUUUCGGUGCGUAAACUCCUUUUAUUAGGGAAGAUAAUGACGGUACCUAAUGAAUAAGCACCGGCUAACUCCAUGCCAGCAGCCGCGGUAAUACGGGGGGUGCAAGCGUUACUCGGAAUCACUGGGCGUAAAGAGCAUGUAGGCUGAUUAGUAAGUUGGAAGUGAAAUCCUAUGGCUCAA
rnacentral:rRNA from 1 species